GGUUCUGUAGUGUAGUGGUUAUUACAUCUGCUUUAUAUGCAGAAGGUCCUGGGUUCAUUCCCCAGUAGAAUCA